rnacentral:misc_RNA from 1 species
GAUGAAGAACGGAGCGAAAUGCGAUAAGUAAUGUGAAUUGCAGAAUUCAGUGAAUCAUCGAAUCUUUGAACGCACAUUGCGCCCGCCAGUAUUCUGGCGGGCAUGCCUGUUCGAGCGUCAUUUCAACCCUCAAGACCCCUUCGGGGGACUUGGUGUUGGGGACCGGCACAGGGGCCUGCCUGCUUGUCUUGCAGCGCCCUCGCCGCCCCCGAAAUGAAUUGGCGGCCUCGUCGCGGCCUCCCCUGCGUAGUAGCACAAACCUCGCAACGGGAACGUGACGGCGGCCACUGCCGUAAAACAACCCAAUUUUAUUAGAGUUGACCUCGAAUCAGGUAGGAAUACCCGCUGAACUUAAGCAUAUCAAUAAGCGGAGGA